rnacentral:lncRNA from 1 species
AUGGCUUUCUCUGCACACUGUAACUUCCUUUUUCCCCUCAUCUUCCCUCUCCGAGUCAGUCCUCUUUCUGAGACCCUUCUCACAAGCGUCAGUUCGGAAGCCGCGAGCACACGCAGCUCCUCGGGCCUUUCACGCGUCCUAACAAUGACUCUUCCCCAAGUCGCCGACCCUGUCCCCCCUCCUCCCGGCCCGGCUUUCAGCAGCAGCCCGGCUCCUGCUAAGUUUCCGAGGCGGUCCUCGAAAGGAGGCUGGAAACCUUCCUCCUUCCUCAGCCGUCCAUCGCAGCUUCGCUCCAAUCAGUCUCCCAUCCGGACGCACGCUCCCACCCCCGGCCCUCCCAGGGCCUCCAUCCCCGUCCCGCAGUCUCUCUUCCCGCCUCAAACUUCCCGCAGACCCGCUCCGCGCCCUCCCGGGCUCGCCCGGGCCGCCGCCGCCCCCUCCCCCUCCCCGCCGCUCCCCACGUGCUGGGAGGCCGGGUCGCGGCGGGACCGACGCGCCGGCCAAGGGCUCGCCGCUCGGGCUCCGCAGCUCUGCCCUCGCGGCCCAGCGGUGCCCACGCCGAGGAGGCCUGGGCUCCACCGCCCAGCUGCCCGCCCGCCCAGCGCUGGGAUGCGCUCCGCGGCGCCGGCCUGCGCUCGCCACUCACACGCCCCCCGCGCGCCCAACCCGGCCGCCACCGCCGCCGCCGGCCCUCGCAGAGCCGCCCCGGCCUUCGCCCGGCGCCCGGCCGCUGGGCCGCCGCCCGGGCACCGCGCCGCCCCCGCCCUCUGCCCGGCCGGCUCCCGUCCUGCCCGCCACAUCCUGACCCGCCCGCCGCCCCUUUUCUUACCGGCGGACGUGCAGGCUUCGCGGGGCGGAGGGAGCCACUCCGAUCGGCGGCCUCCCCCGCGCCCGGGCCCGCGGUCUCCGCCGCCGAGUGAGUCCUCGGGCUCCGGGCGUCUCGGGCACCAACGGCGAGGGCAGCCAGAGCCAGAAGUAAAGAGCCGUCGUCGUCGCCGCAGGCACGCGCGCGCUCCCGCUCCCGCCGCUUAUCGGCUCCCGGCAGCCGCCAUGACGCCGAGAGAGCGAGCGCAACCGUCUCCGUCGUAG